ensembl:rRNA 5S_rRNA 5S ribosomal RNA
CGUCACAUUCAUUUCACCCUGCAGCCCAACACUGGUUACACACUGAAGCUAAGCAGAGCUGCGCCUGGUCAGUACCUGAAUGGGAGACCACAUGGGAAAACUAGGUUGCUGAUGG